AGCCUAGCGCUAAGGCUUAAUGUGGUUGUCCUUGUGGCAAUCAAUAAAACAGCAUUAAGCGGUGCAGCGUUACAAACUCUAGUGUUUAGUAGUGUCAAUGUAGUACAUGUGGGCAACUAUAUGUGUUACUUUCGGCCUAGCGUACAAGUCCCAUUGACUUGGGCCUAUUCUUAAUUGAGAUGUCUACGGGUUUGGGGCAACUUGGAUCCGUGGAUGAGCCAUAGAGGGUGAAAGUCCCUUAAUGCGCAGGUAUUGACACUACGAACUGGAGCGGUGGCGUUUGGUAAAACAAGCGUUGCGAUUUGUUAGAGUCGGGUUGCUUGAGAGUGCAACCUAAAGAGCGAGGUAAACUGCUCGUAAGGCUAUUAUUAAUACGGCUACGACACCGAUAGCAAACAAGUACCGUGAGGGAAAGUUGCAAAGUACUUUGAAGAGAGAGUUAAACAGGGCGUGAAACCGCUAGCUGGUAAACGAGUGGAGCCACGAAGUCGUUUCGUAGAAUACGAGGCGCAAAUUCAGCUGGGGUACCGUAAAAAGUGCUCUAGCGUAUUUUUGCUUGUCUCGCUACUGUAAGCGUACACUGCAACCAAUUAGACGGCCAAUUGUGGAUACAGUUUUGCAAGUCUUACAGGGAAACUUGUUGCUUGUCAAACGUAAAGAUUUGUGUAUUUACUGUAGGUAGCUUGAAUAGAUUCUUGUAGUCUAUUUGAGUGUAUGACAUUUUUGUAAAUGCGUGAACUACAAUUGGGUACUGAUUGGCAAAAUGAAAAUCGAAUCGCAAGAUUCGUUUAAUCAUAGAAAGCGGUUAGCAUUGUAUUUGGGUACAAUUGUACGUUGCUAGUAUUCAAGCUUGAUAUUUUUGAAUUCAGGCACGUAUAUUAUCAAUAGGCUUGCUUGUUGAUAUAUGCGCUGUUUCCUGUCUAAUCGGAUAUUAACUUUGCUGGCGAUUUGAUGCAAUUGCUUCGAUAGCACUGAAUGCAAUAGUUAAUUUGCAAGUAUUGGCAGUGAGUAGGUCGGCUUUCCACACGACCCGUCUUGAAACACGGACCAAGGAGUCUAGUUAAGUAUCGAGUCGAUCGGUCUUGAUUAGGCCAGACAUCGAAGUGAAAUAUGCUUCGAAUAUAAACAAAAAUGACGGCACAGUGAAAUCAAAUGAUAUGUGAUCUGAGGUCUAUAAAAAUGGCCUACAGCGCAACAUAUGCCCACUCGUGUAAUUAUACGCGCAAGUGUUAGUUGAGUGGAGCAAAGAGAUACUUGACUGGUACCCGAAAGAUGGUGAACUAUUCCUGGCCAAAUUGAAGCCAGAGGAAACUCUGGUGGAGGAUUGUAGCGAUUCUGACGUGCAAAUCGAUCGUCAGAGCUGGGUAUAGGGGCGAAAGACUAAUCGAACCAUCUAGUAGCUGGUUCCCUCCGAAGUUUCCCUCAGGAUAGCAAGCUCUCGCACAAAUGUGAAUCAGUUUCAUCUGGUAAAGCGAAUGAUUAGAGGCCUUGGGAGCGAAACGCUCUCAACCUAUUCUCAAACUUUAAAUGGGUGAGAUGUACGACGUACUUAACUGACGCCGUAUAUUUUUACAGAAUGUAUUGAGAGCUUAGUGGGCCAUUUUUGGUAAGCAGAACUGGCGAUGCGGGAUGAACCGAAAGUGAAGUUAAGGUUGCCGAUAAUGGUGUUUACAAUUAGACACUAGCUACACUCAUGAGAUCCCAUGAAAGGUGUAAGUUGCUAAAGACAGCAAGGACGUGGCCAUGGAAGUCGGAAACAUCUAAGGAGUGUGUAACAACUCACUUGCCGAAGCAACUUGCCCUGAAAAUGGAAGCAGCUCGAGUGUUGAACCUAUACUUCACCGUUGAAUUAUCGUUCGCAAAAUAAAGCGAUAAGUUAUGAUUCAACGUGUAGGAGGGUUGUGUUGGUAGCGUUGAAGGCUAUGAGGGAGUGAUCCUGGCUGGAGCUGCCAAUAGUACAGAUCUUGGUGGUAGUAGCAAAUACUCAAGUGAGACCCUUGAGGGCCAAUGUGGAGAAGGGUUCCAUGCUAACAGCAAUUGGACAUGGGUCAGUCGGUCCUAAGAGAAUGGCGAAAGCUAUUUCUGAAUCAAAGGCAGUGUAAUCAAAGUACAAAAUUUAUAUAUUUUGCGUGACAACUUUUUGUUUGUGUGUGAGUUAUUGCUGAUUACACAAAUCAUGCAUUGUUAAAAACUGUGUUAUUACGCACUUUACCAUGUGUAAUAACCACACUAAAAUGCAUGAAAUCGAAAAUAAACACGCAUAUAAAUACACAUAUUUUCACGCAUAGAAAAAAAGUAUAUAAAGAUCACUGCAUGACUCGAAAGGGAAUUAGGUUAAUAUUCCUAAACCAAGAUGGGGAGAUUGUUAUUUGUGCGGUUAUUUCUAUAGCUGUGCAAGUAACAUUGGCGGUAACGCAAACAAGCACGAUGACGCCGGCGGCAGCCCUGGGAAGAGUUGUCUUUUCUUUGUAAGCUUACUGAGUUUUUAACGAGACCUUGG
rnacentral:rRNA from 1 species